ACCAAUGUAUGCCUAAAACAAUAUCAAUUCCAUUCAGUGGCAGUGAAAACAAGGUGGCGGUGAACUCCAUUCCUUGGAUAGACAACCGAACACCUUCAUAUUUCUCGACUUGGUAGUCGUUCCCCAUUAGUCAUGGUGACCCAAAAUUCAUCGAUAGGUGUCAUUGGUAAGCCCAAUGAUUAUCCUGUCUUCUGAUUGACGAAAUUGUGGGUUGACCCAUUGUCUAUAAGAGCCAAUAUCUAUCAAUGUCAUAUUUGAACCUUCAACUGCAUCGUCUGAGGGCAUGUGUAUCCCGUGAGAGUAUGGAGAGAUAUUUGGGGUUCAACUCCUUCCUCCACCACUUUUGAUUCCUCUCCUUCACGCACAAAAUUUUCUCCAAUUCUUCCCUCACCUCCUUCAGGUUCAGCUUCAAUUAUGAACAUUUGGUUCACAGGGCAGCGAUGUCCAUGCGCGAAACGCUCAUUGCAACUAAAGCAAAGCCCUUUCUCCCUUCGUUUCUACAUUUCCUCUCAAGAAUUUCUCCCUCCCAAAUUCAGCUUGGGGUUAUAUUUUGGUGGCUCUGCUAGCAAGCUUCGCCUAGUUUAGUUCAACUUAUCUUCUCUCAUCCUUGUCAAUUCGAUCGUCUCACAUAGCGCUCGUGGCUUAAACAUUCGAACCUCAGCCGCAAUAUCAUCCUUCAGACCCCCAAUAAAUGUUCCAAUCAAAGCUUUCUGCGGCCAACCUCUCAAACUCUUUCUGGUAUCCCCUUAGAGUGCCAUUCUGCCAGAUUGGAGAUAAAGCUUCUUCAAAAUCCUCGUAGUCUAUCAGUCCAAAACGAGCAUGAAGUUCUUUUUCAAAAGCCUCCCACAUAACUAGUAGACUUCCCUCCUAAUACACUUUUCAGCCACUACCACCACUGAUUCGCUUCACCUUCAAGGUGGAACAUAGCUAACAUUACCUUUUGUUCUUCAGUUGUCUAUUGAUAUUCAAAAAAUUGUGACUUGGUCAAGCCACAUCUUUGGGUCCUCCCCUACACAAUGAGGGAACUCCAUUUUAGUGGGUCUGCUUGAGUUUGAAUGGUGGUUGUAAUCCUGUGUAUGAUCGUGCCGUGAGGAAGAACCUUGGUCUCUAGAUCCCCUUUCAUUAUGACGAUGGUUGCCCUUCUGGCUUUUUGGCAUGGUGUCAAGGAUCUCAUUCAAGUUAAGAGAACAUUGGGACCUAACUUGGGACAUCGUUGAUUAUCUGGAAAGGGAUGCGUUAUAUUGAGAGUGCGUGGUUGAUAAUGGAAGAGGAGCAUAUUGUAUUGAUGAUCAUGGAUGUGUUACCUUUGUAAGAACUCUAAGAAAUAAGUUUUUGACAUGGUGGAUUAGUAAUGACAAAUAACUGAACGAGUAGGAUGAACAAAUGCCAAGUAUGACUAUUAAUGCAAGGAACUUCAAAUGUAGGAGGAAGGAUGAGGAAGGGGAUGAGUUAGCUAUUGUUUUCUCAGUUGUUUACAAGAUCUUUGUAGUUUGGAACCUUACUAAUGUAGUCUUUUGAAACCAAAAAUAUCAAUAAUAAAAUUAUCACUCAUAAUAGUACGAAUCCUUA